rnacentral:rRNA from 1 species
GAGUUGUAAUUUGCAGAGGAUGCUUUUGGUGCGGUCCUUCCGAGUUCCCUGGAACGGGACGCCAUAGAGGGUGAGAGCCCCGUACGGUUGGACGCCGCCUCUAUAUAGCUCCUUCGACGAGUCGAGUAGUUUGGGAAUGCUGCUCUAAAUGGGAGGUAAAUUUCUUCUAAAGCUAAAUACCGGCCAGAGACCGAUAGCGCACAAGUAGAGUGAUCGAAAGAUGAAAAGCACUUUGAAAAGAGGGUUAAAUAGCACGUGAAAUUGUUGAAAGGGAAGCGUUUGCGACCAGACCUUCUCCAGGGAUCAACCGUUAUUCUUAGCGGUGCACUCCCUGGUUAGGCCAGCAUCGGUUCUCUUAGGGGGAUAAGGCCUGGGGAACGUAGCUCUGGGAGUGUUAUAGCCCCUAGCAUACCCUUCAGGGGACCGAGGACCGCGCGGCAAGGAUGCUGGCGUAAUGGUCGUCAACGACCCGUCUUGAAACACGGACCAAGGAGUCGAACAUUUGUGCGAGUGUUUGGGUGUUAAACCCUCACGCGUAAUGAAAGUGAACGGAGGUGAGAGCGGUGCAUCAUCGACCGAUCCUGAUGUCUUCGGAUGGAUUUGAGUAAGAGCAUAACUGUUCGGACCCGAAAGAUGGUGAACUAUGCGUGGAUAGGGUGAAGCCAGAGGAAACUCUGGUGGAGGCUCGCAGCGGUUCUGACGUGCAAAUCGAUCGUCAAAUCUGCGCAUGGGGGCGAAAGACU